rnacentral:rRNA from 1 species
UACGAAGGGGGCUAGCGUUGCUCGGAAUUACUGGGCGUAAAGGGCGCGUAGGCGGACAGUUUAGUCAGAGGUGAAAGCCCAGGGCUCAACCUUGGAAUUGCCUUUGAUACUGGCUGUCUUGAGUUCGGGAGAGGUGAGUGGAAUGCCGAGUGUAGAGGUGAAAUUCGUAGAUAUUCGGAAGAACACCAGUGGCGAAGGCGGCUCACUGGUCCGGUACUGACGCUGAGGUGCGAAAGCGUGGGGAGCAAACAGG